AACGAACGCUGGCGGCAGGCCUAACACAUGCAAGUCGAGCGAGGACUUCGGUCCUAGCGGCGGACGGGUGAGUAACGCGUGGGAACGUGCCCUUUGCUUCGGAAUAGCCCUGGGAAACUGGGAGUAAUACCGGAUGAGCCCUUUGGGGGAAAGAUUUAUCGGCGAAGGAUCGGCCCGCGUUGGAUUAGGUAGUUGGUGGGGUAAUGGCCUACCAAGCCGACGAUCCAUAGCUGGUUUGAGAGGAUGAUCAUCCACACUGGGACUGAGACACGGCCCAGACUCCUACGGGAGGCAGCAGUGGGGAAUCUUAGACAAUGGGGGAAACCCUGAUCUAGCCAUGCCGCGUGAGCGAUGAAGGCCUUAGGGUUGUAAAGCUCUUUCAGCUGGGAAGAUAAUGACGGUACCAGCAGAAGAAGCCCCGGCUAACUCCGUG
rnacentral:rRNA from 1 species